GCUACAUAGCUUUUAAGUGAGGAGCUGGUCUUUGACCCAGAUGUGUCUGACACCAGACGCUGUGUUUUUGAUUGCUGUGCAAGGAAAAGCAAGGAAAGGGGGACCAUCUCCUGACCUGUCAUCUUUAAUUCAAGAAGGAUGCAUGCUCCAAGAGUUGUUUCUGCUGCUAGAUUCGACUGCAGGCUAACGGGGAGAGCCCAUGUGAAGUGGAGACCCAUAACCAGACCCUGAGUAGAAUGGUGGUCUUGACUGUCCCACAUACAGGCUUGUAUUUAGUCACAGAAGAGAAGGAAUCCAGGAACCUGAUGUUAGCUUGACUUUGAACGUUUUCCUUCAUUUGAAAAUGAAUAUGUUACGCCACCCUGCUAGCUCCUUCCGAGAUGUGAUGAUGAUACAAAAAAAGGCUAAUUUUUACUAGGCGUUUACUAGGUGACAGAACUUAUGCUAAGUACUUUACGUAUUAAGUUGAACUAUUUGAAAUCGCCACUGUCUGGCCUGUCUUGAUCCACUGAGUGGUAAUUUCAAAUAGUUCAGUCUAAAUACAUUCUCUCUGUUAGUUUUUACCACAUUCUCAUGACAUGGGUACUGUUAACAUACCUGCUUUACAGAUGGUAAGACUGAGGCUUUAAUUUUUUUUAAUAUUUAUUUAUUUUUGAAAAACAGUGAGAGAGAGAGAGAGAGAGAGAGAGAGAGAGAGAGAGAGAAAGAGAGA